AAUGUUUUGGAAGGAGCGAAGGAGGUCCGGCGACUAACCAAAGAGGUUUCCGACGCUAGAACCACCCUAGCUUUACUUGGAGCGAUUCCACCACUUAUGGCGCUGCUUGAUUCGCAAGAUUCCAUUUCUCAGAUCGCUGCUCUCUAUGCUCUGCUUAACCUUGCAAUUGGCAAUGAUGCAAAUAAAGCAGCUAUCGUUAAGGCAGGGGCUAUUCAUAAG
rnacentral:misc_RNA from 1 species